UGCUGUUUGAAUGUUGUUUAAGUGAUAGUCGUGGUAACGGUGCGCAUUUAAAGUUGGUUAGCUAACCUGUUAUUAUUGCUUGCCUACUAACGUAAUGAAAAAGGGGGACUGAUAACUGGGAUGAUCGUAUGUGGAUAAAACACAAGCCUCUGACCGAAGUUUCAGCAGUAACAUCUGUGCAAGCAAGUUUGGCUAAAUAUAAGUUAACCUUAGCUAACCGGAUGUCUGUGUAGACGUUAGCAGUGUUGGUCUUACCUUUAAAUGCUUCAUUAUAUUUGGAUAUCGACAGUAUUUUCCCCGCGGGGAGGCAUAAGGUGCACUGCACAGGUGGGUUCUCAGGCAAACAUACCACAUGAAUGAUAGGGCGAUCACACACAUUGGUCAGACCAGUUCUGUUCGCAGAUAAUUUCUCCUCAAUGGAGCGACGCCAGACCGAACUUCCCGACUUAAAUUUUUACAUUUACAUUGUCAUUUAGCAGACGCUUUUGUCCAAAGCGACGUACAAGGGAGAGAACAGUCAAGCUAAGAGCAAUAAAAAGCAUGGUGUAACAAUAAAUACUACUUUACAUGAGAAUUAGAAAACAACGAGAAUAUAGUAGUAAAAUGAAUGUUUCCAGAACAUGUUUAGUGUUAGUUAGUGUUUAGAAUGUUUAGUGCACUUUCAGCUUUGAAGACAAAAUAACGUCGAUAUGUCCACGAGAGGGCAGUAUUGCUCUAAAAGUAUUGUCUUUCUUUAUAAGAAUGUGGUUGUCUCUAUAACAUCAACCCUCUCCGGGUUUGCGUUGCAUUACAAGCACAGUAAAUAUACAAAUCCCAAAUUUGGGAUGCUAUAUUUUUGUCCGCCAGCCUUCAAGGCAUUUAGAUCAACAGAAUUUUGCGUGAAGUGUAUUGUGACAUAAUAGGAGGCAGGCCUGAAAUAGAACAGAAUUUUCUUUUCGACUUGUUUACAGAGGUAUACUACCAAAGACUAGGUACUAAAAGGUCUAUCGGUGUCUGGAAUUAUGCAAAGAUAGGAAUUAUAGAACGAGAAAUGUGGUUGCCCCACCGUAAUGCUGUCAUAAGACAUAAUUGUUUACAAUCUCCAAUAAAAGACGACAAUGAAAGAUAUGCAGCUAACCGUAAAACGCUGCCACCUGGCCCGCAAGAUGUGUAUUACCUGUGUCUGAAAAGCCCUUGUUUUGUGGAUUAUCGAAAGGUGAGAAGUAAAUGGGAAGCUGUUUAAACGAAUUGGUUUAGAUUGAAAUUACAUGUUUGACGUAUGGUCUUUGAAGCCUGAGCAUUAGGAUUAUAAUCUAUCCUUUAGUGUAAUUUGUGUGAUUUAGCUAAUGUAGUAAUGGUAUCUCUUCCAGCCAACACACCCUUUGAAACAUAUAACAUCCGACCUUUCUGACAGCUAUGAAGCAUCACAGGACACCAAAGGUGAAACCACAACAGAGAGUCAGGAAAAAGUAGUCUCUACUGAAGAGAAGUGGAAUGAUGAGGACGGAGAAGACCGUGCGGUGGACACACAAACCACAGAUGGAGAUAUCAAGACUGAUACACUGGCGUGGAUGUGGGAAAAUUUCAUUGUAGAUGACUACAGCCCUAAGCCAAAUUAUAAAACGUUAAUUCCGAAGGCAGUUGAGAGCAAACCGAGAGUGACAGUACCGGAGCCAUUUCAGAUGACCUUGAGAGAGGAGGAGAGGCGGCUGAAACCCAGGCAGGCCAGCAUGGUAGUGAGCGUUGAGCCUCAGAAACCUCCACAGUUUAAGGCUAACCCUAUCCCUUUGAAGUCUCGCCUCUGUGUCUACCAGAAAAGUCUCCAGGAGUGCGAGAAACAGCGCGAGAUUCGUCACGACAAACGAAAGAAAUUUCUCCUGGCCCUACAGCGUCCUUUCAGUGCUGGAGACGCAAAGCCAGCAGAAGAGAAAUUCAUUGAGCCAACCACGGAGAAGUCAACGUUCAGACCACUCAUAAACACCAAAGUGCCAGACUCUCCAAAGCUGCAUCACAUGUUUGAGGACCGACUCAAGAACAUCAGGCAGAAAAGGCAACCCACUGUACCUCAGCCAUUUAGUUUCCAAGUUAGUGACCAGGUGACCAGCACCACCAAGAGGCCAUUAAAGAGCAUUAAGUGGCAAGGUGACUCUAAGAAAUCGGUAUCUAUAAAGGCAAAGGCCGGACCACCGAGGCCUACCAAGUCAGCUCUGCUGAGAGAGGAGACCGUG
ensembl:lncRNA